rnacentral:snoRNA from 2 species
AGCUGUGACGAGCAUCGAUUUCUUCUGACACCUCUUGUAUGAGAAGUGUGCCACUCUCUCGAGAGAGGCACCCUUCGUUGAGCAGAGUAUAGCAACUGUCUGAGCU